CACGGAGUUAGCCGGUGCUUCCUUUAUAGGUACAGUCAAAAUUCGUCCCUAUUGACAGAACUUUACACCCCGAAGGGCUUAACAUUCACGCGGUGUUGCUGCGUCAGGGUUUCCCCCAUUGCGCAAAAUUCCCUACUGCUGCCUCCCGUAGGAGUAUGGGCCGUGUCUCAGUCCCAUUGUGGCUGAUCAUCCUCUCAAACCAGCUACUGAUCGUCGCCUUGGUAGUCCAUUACACCACCAACUAGCUAAUCAGGCACAGGCUCAUCUUAGGGCGCCGGAACUUUCAAGAUUGGUAUUUCAACCAAGCUCAUAUGGGGUAUUAGCAGAAGUUUCCCUCUGUUGUCCCCCACCCUAAGGCAGAUUUCCUAUGUUGUACUCACCCGUCCGCCACUUUCCACAGGAGCAAGCUCCUGCUUCUCGUUCGACUUGCAUGUAUGAGGCACACCGCCAGCGUUGUCCUGAGCCAGGAUCGAAACUCUA
rnacentral:rRNA from 1 species